rnacentral:rRNA from 1 species
GACGAACGUUGGCGGCGUGCCUAAUACAUGCAAGUCGAGCGGAAUGAUGAAGAAGCUUGCUUCUUCUGAUUUUAGCGGCGGACGGGUGAGUAACACGUGGGCAACCUACCUUGUAGAUUGGGAUAACUCCGGGAAACCGGGGCUAAUACCGAAUAAUCCAUUUCGCUUCAUGGCGGAAUGUUAGAAGGCGGCUUUUAGCUGUCACUGCAAGAUGGGCCCGCGGCGCAUUAGCUAGUUGGUAGGGUAACGGCCUACCAAGGCGACGAUGCGUAGCCGACCUGAGAGGGUGAUCGGCCACACUGGGACUGAGACACGGCCCAGACUCCUACGGGAGGCAGCAGUAGGGAAUCUUCCACAAUGGACGAAAGUCUGAUGGAGCAACGCCGCGUGAGUGAAGAAGGUUUUCGGAUCGUAAAACUCUGUUGUAAGGGAAGAACACGUACGAGAGUAACUGCUCGUACCUUGACGGUACCUUAUUAGAAAGCCACGGCUAACUACGUGCCAGCAGCCGCGGUAACAC